rnacentral:rRNA from 1 species
CCUACGGGUGGCAGCAGUGGGGAAUAUUGCACAAUGGGCGCAAGCCUGAUGCAGCCAUGCCGCGUGUGUGAAGAAGGCCUUCGGGUUGUAAAGCACUUUCAGCGGGGAGGAAGGCGUUAAGGUUAAUAACCUUGUCGAUUGACGUUACCCGCAGAAGAAGCACCGGCUAACUCCGUGCCAGCAGCCGCGGUAAUACGGAGGGUGCAAGCGUUAAUCGGAAUUACUGGGCGUAAAGCGCACGCAGGCGGUCUGUCAAGUCGGAUGUGAAAUCCCCGGGCUCAACCUGGGAACUGCAUUCGAAACUGGCAGGCUAGAGUCUUGUAGAGGGGGGUAGAAUUCCAGGUGUAGCGGUGAAAUGCGUAGAGAUCUGGAGGAAUACCGGUGGCGAAGGCGGCCCCCUGGACAAAGACUGACGCUCAGGUGCGAAAGCGUGGGGAGCAAACAGGAUUAGAUACCCUAGGAGUC